rnacentral:lncRNA from 1 species
GCAACUGCACCUGUCAGGGGUCCUUUACCUUUACCUUUAAGAUGAUAUUACCAUUACAAUUCAAGCACCUGAAGGCGCGUUCUACUCCAAAAUGUGUUGAGCUACUCUGAAGAGUUUUCUAUCCAUGAGUGAAACUAUGGAAUUAAGUUGGGAAUCAGUGAGCAAAACCAUUCCCUACGAAGCCUGUGCUCCUUUUCAUAGGAACCAACUCCUGGACCUAGAGGCUGAGGGGUCUCUUCACCCUCCCCAAUAAAAUAUUUGAGGGGGCUGCCCCCCCCCUUGAUGACCAUUGCUAUUCAAAUGGUGUGUGUGCACUGUGACACCAAUCUGGGAGGGGUAGCUAAUGCUGCAGAAGGCAGAAUCAGGAUUCAAGAUGACCUUAACAGGUUGGAGAACUGGGCCCAAACUAACAAAAUGAAUUUCAAUAGCAGCAAAUGUAAGGUUCUGCACUUAGGCAGAACCCUAACUUCUUCAGCUGGUAGAAUCCUCCUACAGAAGCAGCCAAGGUAAGGGUAAGCUAUUGGGGGGAAACAACAGCUAGGGUAGGAUUCCAUAAAUUGAGGACCCUGGAGCAUCUGGUGCCUUCACCAUACAGAUUUUGGUAAGUGCUGAAGAUGCAUCUCUUUUACCCUGGACACACAUUACCCUGAAAUGUGUAUUUUCAAGACCUGUCCAUUUUCUGUGAGUGUAAUUUGUUUAAACUCUUUUUAGUACUGAAUUUUAAUAGUUGCAAUCCACUCUGGGAUCUGCGCUGGUAAAGGGCAGGUAAUUAAUAAUAAUAAAUCUAGUUACGAUGCCAUAUGGAAGAAAAAAGGCAUGGCUUUUAAAGUUGGUUGCCUUUUGCGCCUGCUGUUAAGCCUGAUAGUAAUGUCAUUGAAACCUUAAGUUUUGUCUGUGCUUGGACCGACCACUGCACGUCUAUAGUGUGACAAUCUCACAUGGUAAGUCACGUCGGAGAAAAUGUUUCUAUCUCACAAAGUGGUUGUGCAAAAACUUGUAAGUUAGAUAAAGUCUCCUUAGGCCUUGUGAACUGCAGGAUCAGUCCUUUGCUCUUGCAAAGGUAUCUCAUUUGUACUUGGGCUUGACUUUUAGGUGUUUGUUGUUGUGAUGCUAGAAAUUUUUAAGGGAACAGAAAUGUCUCGGUUUGUGACUGUUUUGCCUGUAACCUAGAACUGAUAAAACCUGUCUGUCUGGUAGGAUCAUGAUGAUGCUGUAUCUAAAGGUAUAACUACUUAAACAAGGUUAGAACAGAGUCCCAAAAAUAAUUUAAAUUCAUUUCUCAAUCGCAUUUACAUUCUCUUUUCAAACAUCCUCUUAGGAAAAUGGUCCCUAAACUACGCGCUUAGAGAAACACACACACACCCUUUAACUGUUCUUGUUAUUGUUUGUGACUCCUUAUUAUCCACACCCAGGAAUUCUUUGGGUCUCAUUAAUACGAAAGACAGCCUUCUUUAGCCCCUGUCUUUUAAAACUGUCAGAUAAUUACACAGUUGGCUUUAGAGUUUAACUUGUCAAAGGAGUUUUCAUUACUUUGUUCCUUUUGGGCAACCUGCCCUAUUGUGUUCCUGGAACACUAAACAGAACCUAUAUUAACUGUCAGUUAAUUAUACACCAUUUUUUCCUUCAGCUUUUACCAGUCAAAGGGGCAGGUAGGCUGCAAUCCUAUCAUCUCAAUCACUGUCUUUUGCCACAAAAGAAUCAAUAAAGAUGAGUCACAUAGUGUCACCUAGCGUCUGAUACUCAAAGCCACCCAUUCCUAAUUGCCUUUAGAGAUGAAUGAUAAUGAAAACUUUGAAGUGAUAAUCAGUCUAAUGAGUGGUCUUGCUGAGAGGGCAGAUCAUGUGUCAGUAGAGUUUGCAGAUGCUUAAAGGCAAACAAAGCCCACUUUCCUUUUAGAGCUGAGAAGACCCUGGCGAGUCUGGUACCCAGAGGCCUGCACAAUGACAGAGACUGGCUCUCAGCGGGAUGCUGAAGCCUGCGGAUCACAACUGACUCCAUCCAUCUUGCUCUUUGCCUUUUAAUCAACCCAGUCAGAGCGAACUCUCUUGGAUCUUGUAGCGUAAGUCUAUAGUCGUGGCUUAACAUGGGUUGUUUGGAUCAGAACGAGAAGCAUGGCAACACAUUCCUUCUCUUUGGAAAAUGUUUGAUUUAAGCAGUGGCAGAAACUUCAUGGGCAACGUUUGGGAAGCCUAGCUAACAGUUGUGGCCUUAAAUGCAGGAGAGCAGGGCAGCUACACGACAAUAGAGAGACAAUAAAAGGUCGUUCAAACAGCAGUGAAAACCAACAUCAGCACAAAAAACAAAGGCGGUGUUUGGUUUGCUAAUAAGAGGCUGAGGGGCUUUGUGUCACAAUCCCUGAAAUGUGUCUUCAUUGCCGUGGGUCAUAUAUUUCCUUUUCAUUUUCUUCUGUUUAUGAAUGGAAAGAUAGGAAGUUUGAGAAGGCUGCUUCUAAAAGUUUGAAGUAAGACUAUAAAAAGAACAAUGAAAAUAUUUGGAAGUGUUAUAUACAGAUUGCAAGUUCCUUUACCUUGGGAUGCUCUUUAGUAAAAGAGAGGAAACUAGUUCAAUUUCUGUCUUAGUUGCCAAAACAUAUUGGGAUAGUCUUGGACUUUAAGUCAACAAUUCAUCAUGAACUAAAGUAAUAAGAAGUUUUAAAAGCAACUCUAUUCAAAGAAAAGUCCUACUGAGUUUAAUGGGAUUCGCUUCCCAUGAUUUCAGCCUAACACUUCCACAGGCUCACUGCUUUGAGGCACUUUUUUGUCCAGUUCCAUGUGGAACCCAUUCUUGGUAAUGGCUUCCCCAUUUAUGUAUUAGGAAAAGGAAUGUCACAUAUAUUAUUUCGUAUGGUUUUCUGCUCAGCCUUCAAACUGACUGACAGUGUAAACACCCCUGAAUUUCUUUAGCUGCAGUGAUGAAACCAGUGGUGUCAUCGCCAGAGGCUUUCUGAAGAAAGUCCAUUUGAGCCAUAAUAUCAAUGUUUGGCUGAUGGGAUUAAUCAGUUCAUGUUAACACAGUGAUUAUCAUAAAGUAAAGGGGGAACAUUUCAAAAGAAUAAUCCAGUCUGAGAAAGUGAAGCAAAAUCAUUUGUGCUUCCAGAGAGGUCAUGGUUGAAUUAUCACAAAACUCUCUUUAUUCAAAGCAGAUGCUUAUUAUGAUAAAUUUAGUGUGAAAAGUGAAGCAAAAUGCAUAUAAAAGACAUUGUCUCCUCGAUUAUGUAAUAAGAAACCACCUCAUUAUAUAUCCACCAAAGAUGAUUGUAUUUUCCUAGGGGCUGUAUAACUACAGUCUGCCAAAAGCCUCUCACAGUCCUCUUCCAAUAUUUUACAUGAAAUAGCAUACUUCUGAGAAUAAAGCCAAAUGACCAGUAACAGAAGAAUCUAAAAUAAACAUCAUUUUAAAGACGCAAAAGGCAUUUCUUACUGUCUCCAUCAUGUAUAUUCUUCCUAAUAAGAAACGUUAUUGUUAAUAUACAUGCAUGAAGACAUGUUUGUUUUGCUUUCUGUUCUUGAGACUAUAAAGCACAUAGCAGCCAGCCGAGAACAUUUCCUUGUGCAUUUUAUAAAACGCCUGCAAUCCUAUCAAUGCGAUGCAUCUUAGAAGCGCUAUUAAUGCAGCCCCACUUAGCUUCUUCUGCAGGCCACAACUGAACCUUCUGAAAGGCUCCUGGCUGUCACCAAAAACAGCAGCCUUAUUGUGCAGCAAUACAAAACAUAUGACAUGGUGCUGUUGCGCUGAGAAUCUCUCCCCACCCCCAAAAGAGGCAGCCAAUGAAGAGGAGUGCCCUGCCCGAAAGUCGCAUCAGAUGUUUCAUAUUAUGUAUGGGAGAAAGGAGAAUCUGCGGUGCUCCUUUCAGUGGCAGUACCGUGUCCUAGCCCUACCUUCAGCUGCACAACUAUUUGUAAAAAGAAGUUUUACAGCCAUUUUACUUUCCUUUGAGAAACAGUAAAUACGUGCUGUUACCAGGAGGCUCAGAUUCUUGGGCUCUCCUGCAGGUUUGCAAGAGUGCCUGCUUGGUUUUGGGUGAGUUUUUUGUUUUGUUUUAAUGUAUACUUGCUUUUUGUUUUAGCGCCCUCCAGUGUCCCCGCAGGUGUACUGAUGAUUUCUUUUCUGCUUUGUUCAAUUAAUUUGAAGAUCAGCAGUAGAGAGCAUCACACACCC